rnacentral:tRNA from 1 species
GGGGAUGUAGCUCAGUUGGGAGAGCAACAGCUUUGCAAGCUGUGGGUCGAGGGUUCAAGUCCCUUCAUCUCCACCA